rnacentral:rRNA from 1 species
UACAGAGGGUGCGAGCGUUAAUCGGAAUUACUGGGCGUAAAGCGCACGUAGGUGGCGACGUAAGUCGGGUGUGAAAGCCCCGGGCUCAACCUGGGAACGGCGCUUGAGACUGGCACGCUCGAGUUCGGGAGAGGAUGGUGGAAUUCCCAGUGUAGAGGUGAAAUUCGUAGAUAUUGGGAAGAACACCGAUGGCGAAGGCAGCCAUCUGGACCGACACUGACGCUGAGGCGCGAAAGCGUGGGGAGCAAACAGG